UAAUACGGAGGAUCCGAGCGUUAUCCGGAUUUAUUGGGUUUAAAGGGUGCGUAGGCGGUUCAAUAAGUCAGUGGUGAAAGUUUUCGGCUUAACCGGAAAAUUGCCGUUGAUACUGUUGGGCUUGAAUUUGGUUGCUGUGAGUGGAAUGUGUGGUGUAGCGGUGAAAUGCUUAGAUAUCACACAGAAUAUCGAUUGCGAAGGCAUCUCACAAAGCCAAUAUUGACGCUGAUGCACGAAAGUGUGGGGAUCAAACAGG
rnacentral:rRNA from 1 species